AUACCGCGCGGCCUUCUCCUCGUACUCCCUGUACCUGGCGUAGUGGUCGGACACGAUGAACCCUUCGAUCCGGAGCCGCUUCGUGACGAUGGCCGUCAGGUUGUGGACGGGGUCGGGGUGCUCCAGGUUGUACUGCGAGAUCAUCCCGCAGGCCGCGACGCGGCCGCGCACCCGCAUGUUGAGCAGCACGGCGUCCAGCAUCGCGCCGCCCACGUUUUCGAAGUAGAUGUCGAUCCCUUCCGGGAAGCACCGCUUCAGGGCCGCGCUCAGGUCACUCUCCUUCUUGUAGUUGAAGGCGUCGUCGAAGCCGAACUUCUCCCUGAGCAGCCUCACCUUGUCGUCGGAGCCGGCGCUCCCGACGACGUAGCAGCCCAUGAGCUUGGCGAACUGUCCCACCAGCUGCCCCACGGCGCCCGACGCGGCGGAGACGUACACCCUCUCGCCUUCCCUUGGCGCGCAUAUCUCGUGGAACCCGACGUACGCCGUGAAGCCCGCCAUGCCUGAAACAGAUUAUGAAAUUAAUUAAUCGUCGGCCAUGGAUGCUGAUCUGCUAAUCAAUCGCGGCAUGCAUGGUUCAAUUCGUACCGAGGAGGCCGGUGUAGUAGGAGAGCGGCAGGUCGGGAUGGCGGAUGGCGAAGAGGGCCCUGCUGGGAUCCUUGAUGAGGCUGUACUCCUCCCAUCCCGUCAUUCCCCACACGAGGUCGCCGGCUUUGAACCCCGGGUGGCUCGAGUCCACCACCUUCCCGACGCCAUAGCCGGUGAUAGCCUGUCCACACCACAGUACACAUCACGAGCAUCAUCAGAACAAGAAAUUAACAAACUUUUCCCCAUGAAAAAAGUACGCGUUUAAUUACAGAGUUAAAUCAAACUGAAGAUCAAAAUUCAGAGAGCAGCAUACCUCGCCGACGACGAAAGCGUCGACGUAAGAGCCGUCAUGGCUGGACAUGCGGCCGCGCAUGUAGGGGUCGCAGGACAGGUACAGGUUCUUCACGAGGACGGCGCCGUCCGUGCCCUCGGGCACCCUGGACGGCGCGGCGCCCGUCGCGGCGACGAGCUCCAUGUCGGACUCCUUGGGGAACCCCGUCACGUGGUUCCUCAGCACGAUCUUCUUGUUCGUCGCUGCCAUCUUUGGUCUCUCCAAAUUUCAGAUUUCCCUGCUCUCGAACUCUCCGUCUGUGGCCGGUGGUGCGGGUCGUUUGCUCUUCGAGAUUGCUCUGCGAUGUGAGGAUUGGGUUGGGACUUGGGGUGGCACUGCCCCCGCGUUAUAUAGGGGACCACGAAAAGGGAUUCGUUUUGUGAACACGUCCACAUCGUACGUGUGUACCUGGUUCGCCUAAACGCGUAUGAGACGUUGCUGGGCCCGCCCGUCCAGUGGACGAUCGGGAGUCGAGUCUCGACUUUGGUUACUCCAGCUUUCCAUGUGUGUGACGACACCGUACGUGUAGCACGUUGACGGUUGACGGCUUGACGUUAUGCGCCUCUAGAACGUGGCUUAAUUUACGGGGGCAUGUUGGCCUGUUGGGUCUAUUUUCGCUGCAGCAAAUUGUUGGAUUGGGAUUGGGAUAUUAUCUGUACUUCCUCGGUCUCAAGUAUAAGAUCCUGUUUCGAUCAUUUAGGCUGCGUUCUGUGGGACAUGUUCCUAACUCCUAUUUCUUGUUUUAUACGCGCACGUUUUUUAAACUGUUAAACGGUGUGUUUUUUGUAAAAAAUUUCUAUACGAAAGUUGCUUGAAAAAUCAUAUUAAUCCAUUUUUGAAAAAAAAAAGCUAAAACUUAAUUAAUCACGCGCUAAACGCUGCUUUGUUUUGCGUGCUGGGAGGGAGGGUUCCCAAACACAGCCUUAGUCCUAAGACUAAAAUUAGUCCCUGAGUAAAAACUUUAGUCCAUACUGUUUGGAUCCAGGGACUAAAAGGUACUCAAAGGCACGUGUAUCGAGGGAGAGAGAGGUUGUCACUUUAGUUCCGGUAAGUACCUCCAAGAGAGACUAAUGGAUUUUAGUCCCAAUAUGCACUUUUAGUCCUUUUUAGUCACUCCUAUUUGGAUUCUUAGGAACUAAGAGGGACGGAAAUGGAGAGACUAAUGGAUUAGUCCCAUGAACCAAACAGAGUCUAAGUAUUUUUAAACUUCAACAUAGUUUUUUUUUAAGAUGAUACCUUGACUAACAAUAUCUAUAAAUAUAAGAUGUUCUAAGUAAAAAGAAUUGUAUUGUAUUAUAAUAGUUUGUUUAAUGAUAAAUCGAGUAACAUCAAUUUUAUAUCAUUGUUUUUUUUAUUUUUUGUUAUUAAAAGUCAAAGUUUAAAAAUGUUUAAAACUAGGAAGAAGUACGAAUUAUCCCCCUGAACAAUUGCGACAGUAUGAAUUACCCCCCCCCCCCCCAAAACCACAAAACCAGACAUAUUAUACCCUCAACUAUUCAUACCGAACAUAUAACCCCCUCAUUGUUUUUGACCGGUUUUGACUUCAACUUGUACACGUGGCGCCAACGUGGCAAUCCAGUCAGAAAAAAAGUAACCGUUGGGGCCCACCUGUCAUAACCCUUCAUCAACCCAAUCCCCUCUUCUCUCUCUCUCUGUCUCGCACACGCGCUCGGACGGCUGGUAGCGGAGGAGGCGCACACUCUCGGACGACCGGCGGCGGAGGCGGAGCUCGUCCGGAAGUCCGGCUGCGGAGGCGGAGAUCGCCCGCGUGGCCGGCGGCGGAGGCGGAGCUUGCCUCAGUUGCCUGGGAGUCCGGCGGCGGAGGCAGAGAUUGCCCAAGCGGCACUUGUACGAGGAGCACUUGUACGACAAGGACACCGGCAACUGCACUGCCGGUGUCGACUUCCACAAGUGCGGCCACUUCGUCUUCAUAGUUAGGCUCAACUUCACCAAGAUCGGCUGCGCCCCGCGCCGAGUGCUUCAACGGCAGCGUCUUCAUCACAUGCAACUACUACAAAGACGAGGAGCAGCCGGCUGCCCAUCUUACCUACUCCUAGUUGCAUGAUAUGCUCUUCUUCUUCUCUCUCAUCAACACCUUACUUGCUGCCUGCCUGCCUGCCUCAUGUACAUACAGCUGCCCGAACCACCGCCGCCGCCGCCGCCGCCUUCUUCGCCCGGACCGCCGUCGCCGCCUUCUCAGCCCAACCACCGUCGCUGCACUGGAAAGGAUAGGGAAUCGGAAGAGAAGGAGAGGGGAAAGGGAUGAGCGGCGGCCGCAGCCCUCCUGUGCAGCUCCAUCUCGUGCGUCGCCGUCGUGGACGCGGCCACCGACACCGCCCUCCGCUCCAGCCAGGACGCCCUCCGCCUCGAGUGCGACUCCCUCCGCCGCGACGCCGCGCUCCUGCCACACCCGCCCCCGCCGCGCCCAUCGCCCGCUCUCCGCCAUGCCUGCCGCCCGCCUCGCCCAUCGCCGGCCACCUAGUUGCCGCUCCCGGCGACAUCUGAGAGAGAGAUUGAGAGGAAGGGAAAGGGGAAAGAGAGAGGUGGGUCCCACCAUGUUUUAUUUGUUUUUAGCUGACAAGCGGGUCCCAUAUCUUUUUUAUUUGUUUUGCUGACUGGAGUGCCAUGUAUGCAUCCACGUAGGAUCAAAACUGCCCUGGAUCGACAUAGGGGGGUAAUUCAUCCGGUUUGUAAAGUUUAGGGUUAAAAAUAACUGGUAUUAGAGUUGAUGGGGUAACUCGAACGACCGCGAUUGUUUAGGGGGGUAAUUCGUACUUUUUCCUUAAAACUAUGAAAGAAAAUGUUUAUAUGUGGGGACGGAUGAAGUAGCUUUUUUUUUAAGAGAAAGGCUGACGCCCAGCUUUCAUUAAAAAGCAUGAGAGUUCAUACAACAAAAGACAUGAAGUAGCUUUUUUCCAUCGUGAAUCUCAUGGAGAUGUAUACGUCACUGCAGGCGUCCCGUUGUGCGCGCGCCAGCCAGGCCAACUUUGCAUUCUCCCACACGUGCGCGGUUGCGCACGGUGUCCUCGCUGGCGGAUGCAACGGGACACGGCUGACGACCGAGUACCGAUUGUGACUCGAGUAAAAGAUCGGUGGAGGAAAACGCCACAGCUUUCGGAAAAGUUGGAAGCGAUGCAUACAGGCAUACAGCACACCGGGGCUGUUUGAUUCGUAUUUGUGUCAGCCUAGCCGCACACGGCUCACCGCUCACACAUCCCGAUCGCCACGUACGAAGCCGUGUGUGCUGUGCUGUGUGGCUCGCCGUCGCCGCUGCCCCGUUGCUUUGCUCGUCCAGACCUUUGGACGCGUCAACAGAUAGCGUUGUGUUGCAUUGCUGCCCAAGUUCUCGUACACGCCACGACACGAGAAUUAAUCGCAGGAAUCAUGAUGCUGCACAGUUAUUUUCUACCGCGACCAAUUUUUUUAGAGGAUCUACCGCGAGAGCACAGCUGCGGCGUUGCAAUGUGUGGAGAUGUCACUCACGGAAGAAGCCCAAAGUUUGCUGGGCUGUACGGAAAAUAAGAGCUACUCCAGCUUUAAAGCGGCCGGCGCAGUCAGCCGGUACGAGAUCGAAAAUUGACACGAACCGCGAGUCCGCAACCCAUCGUGAUAUUGUGGAAGUGGAGGCCUUGGAAACACCAACGGGCCGCUGCAAUUUCGGCUCGGCUGGCAGUGGCCUCGUCAGCGGCUAUAUUGCCUUGACUAGAACAUAUAUGUUUGAAAUUUGAGUAGAACUCGGUUUAAAAACAUAAAAAAACUGAGAUUCGUGCAGUCAUGUAAUUUUGGAAUGCUGGAUAUGCUUUUAAGAUUCGUGCAGAACCCCCUUAACCCUAGCUCCUCUCCUCCUCUCGUUCCCCACGCGCCCUCUUAUCCCUCGCCACGCCGCCGCCCGCCUGGUCGGCUGGCCGAAAGAUGUCAACGGCACCAGCGAGGCCCCUGUCCGUCCCCUUCCCCCUCUCUCUACUCUUCUUUCCUUAAGCCGAUGGCAGCGAGUUGUCCCUGCGCCACCAUCUUCCCCGUCUCCACCUCCUCCUAACGGCCCUUCCGCUCAGCCCCCGUCGCCUACACCGACCUACCGCCAACUUUUGACCCUACGGCUUAGGCGGCAGCUUCGCCACUGCCUCGCUGCUCGCUCGAUCCGUCGCCACCGCUGGGCUGCCGCCUACCACAACCAUCCCUUUAAAGUUGAUGAACUCCCACUUCCACCCCCACCUUCAAUCCGGGACCCUAACCCGUAAGGUCCUUUGUCAAAGUAUAGGGUGUCGUUGGUGUCAGAGUUGGAGAAAAAGGCCUAGAGCACGAAUCGUGAAGCUCAUCCAAUAGUCUAAAACCUAUAAGAUUUAAAGAUGAAUUUUUCGUAAGGUUAGCAAUUCCUUUUUUUUUUGGAAGAUCCAGCUGGGUGCCGGCAUUAUAUUCAUAGGAGGAGAAAACAAAAGGUUCUAUAUACAAGGUUAGCGGUUUGCGCUUUAAAAGGAAAAGAAACUAAGGCAAUAAUCUCUUGAUAUGCUUUGCACCGCCCAUACCAAGUUCUGGCCUCUCGUAUGAUCCCUUCGACAGUCUGCCAAGUGCCAAGUGGCAGUUCUUCUCGUCGGAAGAUAGUCACGCAAUUGUAAGAGAUCAUACUGAUUUGAAUCCCAUUUUGUUGCAACUUGUUUGCAGCCUAUUUGUAAUCACAUCUGUUGAUUCAUCCACCGUGAUCAUAAUUUAUAUGAAGAAAACAUCUUUCAUCUACAGGUCAUGCAUAAAGCAUUCCAUCAUCCACAGUAUCGAUUUUGCCGAAGUUAACGUGUAUAAUACAAAAGAAUUGCGUGAUCACCAAAAACUGUAUGACCAAACGAACCGAAACACCUCGUUGAUCUAAUCAAACACCUUCGGAACCACUAGGCACGGCGAUGUACUUGGCCGGCCGGUUGGAUUGAAUUCUCUCUCACGGCUUCCACUUGGACGGCGGCGGCGGCGUGGCCGGGAACAUGGGCGGCACGGCGGAGAACAUGGUGUUCUUGUCGACGGCGGUGACGCCCGCGCCGCGGCCGCUGUUGGUGAGGGCGACGAGGGCGGCCACGAGGCCGGCGUUGCCCACCAACGUCGGCUCGUUCUGCGCGUAGGUGAGGCGCGCGUCCUUGAACUGGUCGUUCUUGUCCGGCCCGCCGACCAUGGCGCCGACGAGCACGUUCGGGUCGGCCCCCUUGGUGUCCCUCCACUUGUACCCGCCGGUGCACGAGUACUUGAUGCCGUUGUGCGGCGUCGACGCCCCCCUGUGGUGCAGCCGCCGCGGGUACUUCUUGCCGUACCCCACCACGUAGCUCAUCUUCUUCGGGUUAUCCCCAAGAAUGUAGUUCACCUGCACAUGUACAUCGCCGUCGUCAGCAAAACAACUUCCAAUUGAUGCAUGCAUUGUGAAAAUCUGUGAUCGAUCGUCGAUUACACGUACCUGAGACCUGGCGAAGGAGCGGAGAUCGUCGACGGUCAUGAAGUAGGGGCCGCAGUACCAGCCGGGGACGUUGACGGACUCCAUGUAGUCGGCGUAGAGCGCGGCGAGGAAGGAGUUGGCGACGGUGUACUGCAGCGGCUGGCCCUUCCCGUGGUUGAACUGCGCGAGCCCACCCUUGGUGAAGUUGAAGGCGCCGAAGCGCGGGAAGUAGGUGCACAUGUUCAUGCUGGUGGUGUUGUGGUACCCGAUGAGCGACUCCUCGUAGGGGUAACCCGGGUUGAGGAACAUGCGGAGCCGCGACAGCAGCAGCUCGGCGCCCGGCAGCUUGUUGUCCCAGCUGAAGACGGAGAAGUCGAGGAUGCUGUAGAAGGCCUUGGCGUUCUUGGGCAGCCGCGGGUCGGUGGCGAAGGUGAUGUAGGUGUUGUUCCCCGUGGCGUAGUACAUCCACGCCGCGCUCCACAUGUACUCGUCCCAGUAGCUGGUGGAGUUGUAGUAGUACUCGAUGUACUGGUUGCCGCGGGAGUACGGGGUGCGGCGGCCGCUGCUGCGCGCGAACUUGUACACGGCGGCCGCGCCGUUCACGAGCUUCUUGGAGUAGGCGGCGUUGUCGCGGAACACGAUGGAGGCCGCCGCGAGCGCCGCCGCCAUCUCGCCGCCGAGGUCCGGCGCCGAGCCGGCCGUCUGGACGGGGCGUGGGUACGCCAUGUCCUCCGGCCGGUUCCAGCAGUAGUGGUCGUCCGGCUGGGUGCCGUUGAUCUUCGCAAUGCCCACCUGCAGGAGCAUGCAUGCACCGUUCAGACCUAGUAUGCUUGAUUUGACAUCAUUUUCUUUUUCACUUAAUACUGAUAACUUCAAAUGUUUUUACAUAAUUUUCCUGGUGGAUCAACCCAGAGUAAGAGAAUGUGAAUCAAAGUUUUACCACUGCAUCUUUCAUUGUAUGCCAAAAUGUAGUUCUGAGAGAUCGAGACAGAUCGACCACUCCUAAGUUUUAAUUAUAUUAUUGUUCAGCACAUGCAGAUGAUUGGAUGAUGAACCUUAUUCUACUGGAGCCCAUGUGAUAAGAGUCAAAGGUUGUUAGGCGUGCCAAUCAAUUACUGAUGGAAUAGAUUGCUCGGCAUGUAAUACUGUAAUUGACAGAACUGACCAGUUUGCUCACUACGACCUUAUUUCAGAAACUUACUUUACUGCUGUAGUAAGAAACAGUAUGCUUCUCUGCAUUUAUAAAUUCUACGGUCUUCCAGCUAUGAUUACAGCAGAAAAGAACCAAGAUAGUAACAAUGCACCAAAAUUUUCACAGAUCAAAUAUUUCUUCCAAGAUUCAUAAUGAAAUAUAUUCAGAAUUGGGACUUUGAGCAAGUACCUGGCUAUAGACUUUGUCAAUGGUGGAAGCAGAGGAGUUGAAGGUGAGGAGCAGGUAGUCGGUGCCCCACUUGAUGAGCUCCCUCACAUGGUCAUACUCCCCUACCGCCUUGUACUUGGCGCUGUACUCGAUCACUGACCAGCUGAGCAUUGUCAUGGAGAAGGCCAAGGGGAAAUGGAACUUGAUGUUGUCGCCGGCGUCGUAGUAGCCGCCGACGAGCCCGCCCUUGACGUCCGUCAGAUCGGAGCCAUCCGACAGGCCGGAGUUGCCGCGCCAUUUGAUGCCGUUGUUCUUCGGGAGCCGGCCGGCUGUCAGAGCAGAGAACGAGACAUGGCCAAAAUUGUUCGUCAGAGAAAGAAGGGCUGCAUUCAUCAGUGCACGUUUCAAACUGAAUUUUGAGCAUGGAAGUCAGAAUCGGAUGACUAGUAGUACUGUAGUGUAAGCUCAAGAUCUACAAGUGCAGAGUAUCUGUCAAGAUCCAGAAGCAGAUCAUGCGGCGAGAUCUACAGGUACACUAGUAUUGCAGAGGAGUACUUCGUGCCGCGUUAAAGAAUGGAUCAAUUGGCUGUCCUACAUGUGCACGAACGUGCGUGAGACGCCAAAUUGCCAAGACUCCAAGCCAAAGCGCAGCUGGAUUUUUGGGAGAUUUCUCUCCACAUCAGAGUGUCACUUUCUUCAAAGCUGUGGGACUAUGAACAGUAGCACAGAACAUUCCAUUUGUGGGGUUGCAGUUGUGCACAGCUCAACUGAACUGAUUAAAACUAACUAGUGCUACUACUCGCCUGUAGAUUUGUACUUGCUCGAUCCUCUCUCCUCGGGAUCAACACAUAAUCAUGCAGCUAAUAUCACGGGUCAAAAGUUCAAAACUCAGUAAACCUAAGGAAAUUCAAGGCAACAUACUUCUACUCAUUUUGAGCAAAUCCGUCUGCAGAUUCAGAAGCUCUAACACAAAUGGCAAAUGCGAUGAGAUCUCUACUGAUCAAAGUCAAAAGAUUCUUGUUUUGGCAAAGGUUUCCAUCCUAGUUAGUUAAUUAACUAACGCACAAACAGAGGAUCAUAUCACAGGAUGGAGGGGGGACUGACAUUUCUGGGCGUUGAAGAAGAGGAGGGCCUUGUGGAGGGCGUCGGUGUACUGGUCGGGGGGAGGGGCGUGGGGCUUCUUCUUGGGGAUGGACUUGGCGAUGAUGACGGGGAGGCCGAUGAGGAUGAAGGCGGCGAGGAGGGUCCAGAGGACCCACCAGAGGAGCUUGCGCUUGACGACGACGCAGCCGAGGUCGACGUACUUGUCCUUCUUCUUGGCCUCCGGCGGGCCGAGCAGCCAGCUCUGCUGCGUCUCGUCCAGCUGGUGCUGCCGCGCCGACAGCGCGCCGCGGUCCAGGUCCAUGUUGCGGCUGUGGUCAUCCUCCGCCGCGCCGUCCGCGGCGAUCUCGAACGACCCGCCCCAGUGGUUCGCCGAGUACAUGGCUGUGGCUGCGGCUGCGGCGGUGGGCUUGGCUCGCCCCGCGGCUGCGGGUGGCUUAGCUGGUGGGUCGAUCGGUCGAUCAGCGCAUGAAACGCGGGUGCUAUUCUUGGGGCGGUGGUGGCGAGGUGCGGUGGCUUUGGGUGGGGGCGUUUUGAAGGGGGAGAGAGAGCGGGCGGUGGUUGACUUGGGUGGCGCACCCGGACUGGCGCGCGCGCGUGACACUGUGCCGUUGUGAGCGGGUGGCGCGGUAGCUCUAGUGAAAGUAUCCCUCCGUUUCAUAUAUAUUACUCUCACCAUUUUUAACGUACGACGCCGUUGAUUUUUCGACCAAUAUUUGACCAUUCGUUUUAUUCAAAAUUUUUGUGUAAAUAUGAAAAAAUUUAUGUCAUGAUCAAUGAACAUUUGAUGACGAAUCAAGUCACAAUAAAAUAAAUAAUAAUUAUAUAAAUUUUUUGAAUAAGACGAAUAGUCAAACGUUAAAUAAAAAGUCAAUGGCGUCAUACAUUAAAAUAUGGAGGUAGUAUAAUUUUUGUUUCUUAAUCAAACUAUUUUAACUUUAAUUAGGUUUAGAGAAAAAAAUUAGCAGCAUAUAUAACAUCAAAUUAUUUUCAUCAAAUUCAACAUUAAAUAUACUUUGAUGAAAUAUUGGUUUUGUGUUAAAAAAAUUACUAUAUUUUUCUACAUAUUUAAUCAAACAUAAAAAAUGAUUAGAAAAAAAAUUUAAAAUGACUAAUAAUAUGAGACGGAGGGAGUAACACUUUUUUUGGAUGUGGAAAUGUUUUUGCAAAUAGUUAGAUGAACAGAUCAAACCAAAGUAAAUGCAAGUUUUCAAAUGUAAGUUACUUUGACUUUUUUCUUAGUCAAACCUUUCAAAGAAAUUUGAUCAGGUUUAUUGAAAAGAUUAGCAAUAUCUACAACACAAAUUUAGUUUCAUCAUACGUAACAUUGAAUAUUUUUGUCAUAUUAUGUUUGUUUUGUGUUAAAAAUAUCGUUAGAUUUUUCUAUAAAUUUGAUUGAAUUUUAAAAAAUUAACUAGAAAAAAAAUCAAACCGAUCUAUAAUUGGAACGGGGAUAUGGCUGUGUUUAGUUCCUUCCAAAGUUGGAAGUUUGGAUUGAAAUUGAUAUGAUAUGAUUGAAAAGUUGUGUGUGUAUGGCAGGUUGAUGUGAUGAAAAAAGUUAGAAGUUUGGAUCUAAGGGCCUGUUUGGCACAGCUCCAGCUUGGAGGUGGAGGUCAGACAAACAGUUUCAGCUCCACCAAAACUGUGAGUGGAGUUAAGUGGAGCUCUCUCACAAAAUGUACUAGAGUUGUGGAGCUGGGUUUAGGCAGCCCCACAACUCCACUCUAGACUCAACUCCUAGAGCAAUAUUUAGGAGUUAGAGCUGUACCAAACAGGCCCUAAACACAGCCUAUAUCUGAAAGACUGCAUGUUUAUACUCGGUUCGCCUGCUUCCUUUGUGACGCUAUGCCAUCAAUUCGAGCCGCCUUUUUUUAAACUGAUUUUCGUUGGAGGUGCCAUUGGGAUCUGUCCAGUACAGACUGACUGAUGACUUCUGGAUUGCGACGUUAACGGGGGAGUUCAGGCCAGCUAGAUGCAGGGCUACAGCGAUGGUUUAACUCCAUCAGAAGAAGAAAAAAAAAGUAAAGGAAAAAACCAUUGUUUUCCAUGUGUGUUUGGUGAAGCAUUUUCUGCUCCAUGCAGCAUGAGAGUAGUGGUGGUGGUGGGGUACACUAUUUUGGUUAUCCAUGGUGAUGCUGCACAGGAACAAAAGAACAAUCCCCAUUUUGCUGUCAGGAUGCAGAGCCGGCUAGGAAGCUCCUCGCCAGUAGCGAUCACUUUUCCCCCUCGCAAUAUUCUACUCGCACUAGCGUUUGUCAUUCGUGCUGGCGUGUGACAUGUGGAUUUCAGAACAAUCUGUUCUGUCUGUCUGCUCGACCCGUCUGAUUGUUAAUCGCUUACAGUAUCACCUCUCCACAGCUGGUGAAACCUAACUGUUCUUGUGUCGAUCUUAAUUUUCUUAUGCUGGCCGUUCUACUAAUUUUUUACUCCUGUAUCUGUAAAUAUGGCAUCGUCAGGACUUGGGUUUGAUUCAGUUGAGCAAUCAAAAUCAGCAAGAAAAGGGCUCGUUGUCUGUCUAUGCUGCGCACCUGCAUUUUCAGUCUGAACUCUGAACAUGAAAAUUCCAGUAAGAAAGCCUCUUGCCUCUCAUGGCAGGGUUAAGUUUACAGCAAUUUGCAAGCUCAACAACCAUCCGGCUAUGUGUGUCGGUCGAUCGGUGGAGUCAAAGACGGGAGGAAACACAUGGAGUGCGAGUUUUGCGUUGGUUUCUUCCUACUCCCCUGGAUUUUUUAUUCACAUGGUGUUAGCAUGUUCAAGCCUGGCAAGAGGUUGGCACCAAUUAUAUACGGAUCGUUGAAACCUUUUAUGAUUAAGUAGACUAGAUGUGCGUAUCCUCCUUGAUCAUUUCGUGUUGUAAUUGGCCAGCCAUCCUUCUGUCACCAAAGCGAUGGCUCAGAGUUGUACAGUGACCUUUCACCGGAAACAAUUGUGCAACUACGUCCUAAAACUGAGAGAUUUUCUCUGAGUUAGUACAUUUUUGUACUUAAUUUAAAGUGUCGGGAGAAUAUGGUCACAUCUUAAAGAGAACAGUGUGUGUUAUGAGAUGACAGGAGGCUGCUCCGGA
rnacentral:lncRNA from 1 species